GAGGAGGAGACAGGUGAGGGGGAGGAGGAGUCGGGUGAGGAGGAGGAGUCAGGUGAGGGGGAGGAGGAGUCAGGUGAGGAGGAGGAGGAGUCAGGUGAGGGGGAGGAGGAGUCAGUCAGGGUAGGAGGAGACAGGUGAGGGGGUGGAGGAGACAGGUGAGGGGGAGGAGGAGUCAGGUGAGGGGGAGGAGGAGUCAGGUGAGGGGUCGGGUGAGGAGGAAGAGGAGUCAGGUGAGGAGGUGGGCGGAGAAGCUGUAGAGGUCCUUGUUGACCUUCUUCAGGGUGCGGACCUCCUCCUCCAGCUCGGC